GAUGAACGCUGGCGGCGUGCCUAAUACAUGCAAGUCGAGCGAACAGACGAGGAGCUUGUUCCUCUGACGUUAGCGGCGGACGGGCGUGUAACACGUGGAUAACCUACCUAUAAGUCUGGGAUAACUUCGGGAAACCGGAGCUAAUACCGGAUAAUAUAUUGAACCGCAUGGUUCAAUAGUGAAAGACGGUUUUGCUGUCACUUAUAGAUGGAUCCGUGCCGCAUUUGCUAGUUGGUCAGGUAACGGCGUACCAAGGCAACGAUGAGUAGCCGACCUGAGAGGGUGAUCGGCCACACUGGAACUGAGACACGGUCCAGACUCCUACGGGAGGCAGCAGUAGGGAAUCUUCCGCAAUGAGCGAAAACCUGACGGAGCAAAGCCGCGUCAGUGAUAAAAGUCUUCGGAUCUUAAAACUCUGUUAUUAGGGAAGAACGAAUGUGUAAGUAACAAUGCACGUCUUGACGGUACCUAAUCAGAAAGCCACGGCUAACUACGUG
rnacentral:rRNA from 1 species